CCGGCAGUGGCUGAGGCGGAGUGCUGCAAGCUGAAGUAGGGUUUGCCUGCGUACCCCCUGUUCUGGGCCCCAAGUCGGCCCGAAAAACCCACGGACCUCCCCGCCCAGGCCCCGAAUCGUGGCGCAGGUCAGGGGCUCUGUGGCCAGCCGCAACCCAACAAGGCAGGGACGGCGGGCGGCGGCAGGCGAGGCUCCGAAGAGAAAUCCAAAGCUAGUCUCCGAUGGUCACACUUGUGAACACCAGAUGGUCCAGGCCUGCCAGGACUGACCCACUCUGCUUGGAGUCGCCCUCGAAGUAUCAGAAAGGACCCACAACGGUGAUAAACACUCCCAGACGCCCUGAAGGUAAUGCGGCCCCCCAUCUUUCCUCAUAGGUUACUUGCUGGCAUUCCUAUUAAACAACCUGGCAUUUGUUUACAAGUGAAAAACACCCUAACCAUGGAGGUCAGAUGGGCCAGCAGAAGAGGAACUAGGGGAGAACACACCUGCUCAACAAGGAGAAGGCAGCCUUGGGACCAUCAAAGUUGUGAAUGCAAGCAAAUAAAUGUUUCGUAGACUUUUUAAAAGUAA